AAGCAGGGGAUCGUAAGACCUUGCGCUUUUGGAGUGGCCGAUGCCUGAUUAGCUAGUUGGUGGGGUAAGGGCCUACCAAGGCAACGAUCAGUAGUUGGUCUGAGAGGACGACCAGCCACACUGGGACUGAGACACGGCCCAGACUCCUACGGGAGGCAGCAGUGGGGAAUUUUGGACAAUGGGCGAAAGCCUGAUCCAGCAAUGCCGCGUGAGUGAAGAAGGCCUUCGGGUUGUAAAGCUCUUUCAGUCGAGAAGAAAAGGUUGUGACUAAUAAUCACAACUUAUGACGGUACCGACAGAAGAAGCACCGGCUAACUACGUGCCAGCAGCCGCGGUAAUACGUAGGGUGCGAGCGUUAAUCGGAAUUACUGGGCGUAAAGGGUGCGCAGGCGGCUUUGUAAGUCAGAUGUGAAAUCCCCGGGCUUAACCUGGGAAUUGCGUUUGAAACUACAAAGCUUAGA
rnacentral:rRNA from 1 species